rnacentral:rRNA from 1 species
GGAUUAGAUACCCUGGUAGUCCACGCCGUAAACGAUGUCUAUUAGCCGUUGGGCCUGUUAUGGGCUUGGUGGCGAAGCUAACGCGAUAAAUAGACCGCCUGGGGAGUACGGCCGCAAGGUUAAAACUCAAAUGAAUUGACGGGGGCCCGCACAAGCGGUGGAGCAUGUGGUUUAAUUCGAAGCAACGCGAAGAACCUUACCUACUCUUGAAAUCCUGCGAACUUGGUAGAGAUACCUUGGUGCCUUCGGGAACGCAGUGACAGGUGCUGCAUGGCUGUCGUCAGCUCGUGCCG